GAUGAACGCUGGCGGCGUGCCUAAUACAUGCAAGUCGAGCGAACAGACGAGGAGCUUGCUCCUCUGACGUUAGCGGCGGACGGGUGAGUAACACGUGGAUAACCUACCUAUAAGACUGGGAUAACUUCGGGAAACCGGAGCUAAUACCGGAUAAUAUAUUAAACCGCAUGGUUAAUUAGUGAAAACCGGUUUUGCUGUCACUUAUAGAUGGAUCCGCGCCGCAUUAGCUAGUUGGUAAGGUAACGGCUUACCAAGGCAACGAUGCGUAGCCGACCUGAGAGGGUGAUCGGCCACACUGGAACUGAGACACGGUCCAGACUCCUACGGGAGGCAGCAGUAGGGAAUCUUCCGCAAUGGGCGAAAGCCUGACGGAGCAACGCCGCGUGAGUGAUGAAGGUCUUCGGAUCGUAAAACUCUGUUAUUAGGGAAGAACAAAUGUGUAAGUAACUAUGCACGUCUUGACGGUACCUAAUCAGAAAGCCACGGCUAACUACGUG
rnacentral:rRNA from 1 species